rnacentral:rRNA from 1 species
UACGGGGGGGGCAAGCGUUGUUCGGAAUUACUGGGCGUAAAGGGCUCGUAGGUGGCCAACUAAGUCGGACGUGAAAUCCCUCGGCUUAACCGGGGAACUGCGUCUGAUACUGGACGGCUUGAGUUCGGGAGAGGGAUGCGGAAUUCCAGGUGUAGCGGUGAAAUGCGUAGAUAUCUGGAGGAACACCGGUGGCGAAGGCGGCAUCCUGGACCGACACUGACGCUGAUGAGCGAAAGCCAGGGGAGCAAACGGG